AAACCGUUCAGGGGUAAACCUGUGAAACCCAAAAGAUCGAAUGAGGAGAUUCAUCGUCAGCGUAUUCAGUAUUAAUGCAGGCUAUGAUGUGAUAAUAGAAUCCUCGUGGUCACUAGAUUAUACUUGCUUGUGUUAUUUUUGCUGGGUGUGUCGGCGUGCACUUCUCCUCUAGUAGAACGUCGCAACCCGUUGGAUGUUUAUCUAUGGCCUGAUUGGUAGCCUUUGAUAUAAUUUUAUAUUGAAGACCUUUUGGUGUCCUGAUAAACUGUCUGACGGUAUA
rnacentral:rRNA from 1 species